CUUACCAUGCAGUCGAACGGUGAACACGGAGCUUGCUCUGUGGGAUCAGUGGCGAACGGGUGAGUAACACGUGAGCAACCUGCCCCUGACUCUGGGAUAAGCGCUGGAAACGGCGUCUAAUACUGGAUAUGUGACGUGACCGCAUGGUCUGCGUUUGGAAAGAUUUUUCGGUUGGGGAUGGGCUCGCGGCCUAUCAGCUUGUUGGUGAGGUAAUGGCUCACCAAGGCGUCGACGGGUAGCCGGCCUGAGAGGGUGACCGGCCACACUGGGACUGAGACACGGCCCAGACUCCUACGGGAGGCAGCAGUGGGGAAUAUUGCACAAUGGGCGAAAGCCUGAUGCAGCAACGCCGCGUGAGGGAUGACGGCCUUCGGGUUGUAAACCUCUUUUAGCAGGGAAGAAGCGAAAGUGACGGUACCUGCAGAAAAAGCGCCGGCUAACUACGUGCCAGCAGCCGCGGUAAUACGUAGGGCGCAAGCGUUAUCCGGAAUUAUUGGGCGUAAAGAGCUCGUAGGCGGUUUGUCGCGUCUGCUGUGAAAUCCCGAGGCUCAACCUCGGGCCUGCAGUGGGUACGGGCAGACUAGAGUGCGGUAGGGGAGAUUGGAAUUCCUGGUGUAGCGGUGGAAUGCGCAUAUAUCUUGAGGAACACCGAUGGCGAAGGCAGAUCUCUGGGGCCUAACUGACCUGAGGAGCGAAUGGGUGGGGAGUAAAUAUGCUUAGAUCCCUGGUAC
rnacentral:rRNA from 1 species